AAGUCGUAACAAGGUAACCGUAGGUGAACCUGCGGUUGGAUCAUUAACAAAUCCAACUAGUCUACACUGAGUCUGAAAAGACAAGGUGGACGACUACAAACACCCUGUGAACUAGUACUGUCUUUGGUAGAGCGUUUAUUCGCACUACCGAUAUAUAUACCCCAUUAUUUUUAAACUGAUUUCUUUAUACCUAGACCUUUGAAAGAAGGAAUAGUCAUUAAUGAAAAACAACUUUUGACAACGGAUCUCUUGGUUCUC
rnacentral:misc_RNA from 1 species